rnacentral:rRNA from 1 species
CCUACGGGUGGCAGCAGUGAGGAAUAUUGGUCAAUGGGCGCGAGCCUGAUCCAGCGACGCAGCGUGAAGGAUGAAUGCCCUCCGGGUUGUAAACUUCUUUUAUAAAGGAGUAAAGUGAGGCACGUGUGCCUUUUUGUAUGUACUUUAUGAAUAAGGAUCGGCUAACUCCGUGACAGCAGCCGCGGUAAUACGGAGGAUACGAGCGUUAUCCGGAUUUAUUGGGUUUAAAGGGAGCGUAGAUGGGUUGUUAAGUCAGUUGUGAAAGUUUGCGGCGCAACCCUAGAAUUGCAAUUGAUACUGGCAGCCUUGAGUACAGUAGAGGGAAGCGGAAUUCGUGGUGUAGCGGUGAAAUGCGUAGAUAUCACGAAGAACACCGAUGGCGAAGGCAGCCUACUAAACUGCCACUGACAUUGAUGCUCGAAAGUGUGGGGAUCAAACAGGAUUAGAUACCCUGGUAGUC